CCUACGGGUGGCAGCAGUGGGGAAUAUUGCACAAUGGGGGAAACCCUGAUGCAGCAACGCCGCGUGAAGGAAGACGGUUUUCGGAUUGUAAACUUCUGUUCUUAGUGAAGAAUAAUGACGGUAGCUAAGGAGCAAGCCACGGCUAACUACGUGCCAGCAGCCGCGGUAAUACGUAGGUGGCAAGCGUUGUCCGGAAUUACUGGGUGUAAAGGGAGCGCAGGCGGGAAGCCAAGUCAGCUGUGAAAACUACGGGCUUAACUUGUAGACUGCAGUUGAAACUGGUUUUCUUGAGUGAAGUAGAGGUUGGCGGAAUUCCGAGUGUAGCGGUGAAAUGCGUAGAUAUCGGGAGGAACACCAGUGGCGAAGGCGGUUUACUGGACCACAACUGACGCUGAGACACGAAAGCGUGGGGAGCAAACAGGAUUAGAUACCCGUGUAGUC
rnacentral:rRNA from 1 species